rnacentral:rRNA from 1 species
UACGGAGGGUGCAAGCGUUAUCCGGAUUCACUGGGCUUAAAGGGUGCGUAGGCGGGUAAGCAAGUCCGUGGUGAAAUCUCUGAGCUUAACUCAGAAACUGCCGUGGAUACUAUUUGCCUUGAAUAUUGUGGAGGUGAGCGGAAUAUGUCAUGUAGCGGUGAAAUGCUUAGAUAUGACAUAGAACACCAAUUGCGAAGGCAGCGCGCUGCACAAUCAUUGACGCUGAGGCGCGAAAGCGUGGGGAUCAAACAGG